CCUACGGGAGGCAGCAGUAGGGAAUAUUGCUCAAUGGGGGAAACCCUGAAGCAGCAACGCCGCGUGGAGGAUGAAGGUUUUCGGAUUGUAAACUCCUUGUGUUAGAGAAGAGAAGGACGGUAGCUAACGAAUAAGCACCGGCUAACUCCGGGCCAGCAGCCGCGGUAAUACGGAGGGUGCAAGCGUUACUCGGAAUCACUGGGCGUCAAGAGCGCGUAGGCGGGAUAGCAAGUCAGAUGUGAAAUCCUAUGGCUUAACCCUAGAACUGCCUUUGAAACUGUUAUUCUAGAGUAUGGGAGAGGUAGGUGGAAUUCUUGUUGUAGGUGUUCAAUCCGU
rnacentral:rRNA from 1 species